AUGAUCCACGACAACAUACAUGGUGAAACAUUAGUCUUUAUUCCAUACGUAAUACAGAACAUUCAAACUGCCAGCCAUGCAUUCCCAGCUCGGCAUGGCUUCUGAGAGCCGGCUGUCCUUGUUAGUGUAGUACCGUAAUACCAUGGAGUAAUAUUAAG